AUUGAACGCUGGCGGCAUGCCUUACACAUGCAAGUCGAACGGCAGCACGGGAGCAAUCCUGGUGGCGAGUGGCGAACGGGUGAGUAAUAUAUCGGAACGUGCCCGGUCGUGGGGAUAACGUAGCGAAAGCUACGCUAAUACCGCAUACGAUCUACGGAUGAAAGCGGGGGAUCGCAAGACCUCGCGCGAUUGGAGCGGCCGAUAUCAGAUUAGGUAGUUGGUGAGGUAAAGGCUCACCAAGCCGACGAUCUGUAGCUGGUCUGAGAGGACGACCAGCCACACUGGGACUGAGACACGGCCCAGACUCCUACGGGAGGCAGCAGUGGGGAAUUUGGACAAUGGGCGCAAGCCUGAUCCAGCAAUGCCGCGUGCAGGAUGAAGGCCUCGGUUGUAA
rnacentral:rRNA from 1 species